GUUAAGACGUUGGGCUAGUAACCCAAUGGUCGUAGGUUCGAGCCCGGG
rnacentral:tRNA from 1 species